rnacentral:rRNA from 1 species
UACGUAGGGACCGAGCGUUGUCCGGAUUCAUUGGGCGUAAAGAGCUCGUAGGCGGCUUGUCACGUCGGGUGUGAAAGCCCGGGGCUUAACCCCGGGUCUGCAUUCGAUACGGGCUAGCUAGAGUGUGGUAGGGGAGAUCGGAAUUCCUGGUGUAGCGGUGAAAUGCGCAGAUAUCAGGAGGAACACCGGUGGCGAAGGCGGGUCUCUGGGCCGAUACUGACGCUGAGGAGCGAAAGCGUGGGGAGCGAACAGG